ACCCACUCAGAGUUCAACUGCCAGAGGGAGAUUCAGUGAGGAAAUAUCAUGGGAGAUGAAACAGCAGGAGGAGAAAAAAAUCAAACAGUUUUUAAAUGGAGAGUACUUGGGCCUUUGUGACAUUCAACAACGGCUUUGUUCUUGCAGAGGAAUAGAGAAUGCUCACCUUCCAUCUCUUUUUGUGUGUGUGCUGAAUUCACACUCCCUGAAAGUCGAGGAAUACAUGGGCGAAGGAGGACGAGAACAUAAAGUACUCUGUAGCCACUUAGUGUGGACACCAGGCGAGACUACACACACACACACACACACAGUUAUAUCAGCUGUGUUGGUGUACCCCUCCCGCAUCUGAACUGGCUGACACAGGGCACAGCAUGAUCAUAGGUAUGUUUUGAUGUGAGAGAGGAAGCCAGUCCCGUCAUCGCCACCUCACCUGCUCUUAAGAUAACAUUUGGGCCGACUGGGUGCCCAAGGCUGGUUAGGAGACACCGCUAGAGACACUAUGUAAUUGUGAUGAACUGAGAAUAUUAGGGUAGCACUGUAAGUCAAUAAUCAUAUGCUGUCUUCCCUGCUCCUCUGUUUAACCUCUUUACCCUUCUGUCUUCUACACCUCUCUCCCCACCUCCUCUUUGCUCUUUGUUCCUCUUUUUUUUUAUAAUGCACACCAUAUGUGCAUUGACGUACAGAUUGAACUUGUAUUUAUAAUAUGAUAUUACAAUUAUGAUAUUUCUAAUGCAUGCAUUUAUAACACCUGGAUAAUGAACUUUCAAUAAAGCUUUUCACAUUC